rnacentral:snoRNA from 14 species
ACUGGUCUGUGAUGAAACCCAUUAUCAGUGGACAUCUAUGGAUGAGAAAUGCGGAUAUGGGACUGAGACCAGUU